UUCUCUCCUUUAUCAUUUAUUUUUUAUUUUUUUAUUUUAUUAUAGUCAGGACAGCUCUUUGCUUCCGCUUUAACAGAUUAUUUUAGAAGAUGCUAGAACAGGCCUCUAGAAUGUCACUGGUUGAUCUAUGUCAAGUUGUCAACCAUUCUGUUGGAUACAUCUCAUAUUAAGUGAAAUGGAGUUUCCAUGUGGCAUAUUUUGGUUUCAGCUACUGCUUCAUGCUAUUUGAGCAUAGUAGAGCUGGUUUAAUUAUAUCAGCUCUUGUAAAAUUUGUGAAAAUUUUCAUGCACUGGACCUUUAUUUAUGGACAAUGGAGGCAAUCAUGUAUUCAAUUGUUAGGACCCAAUGAUCAUCAAUGCGGAAGUUAGAAAAUGCUUCCACACUGAGAAGCAUGUUCAUCUCAGGUUAAUGAAGAAACAGGUGAUGCUGUGACUAAUUAACUCGUAUAUAUGUUCCAGGGUAUUCAGACCGCAUUAUAAGCAUGCUAGAAAGAAAAAACUCUUUAUUGGUCUUCCACUAGAUACAUAAAGAACCUACUGGACGUUCAUCUACAAAUCACUCGUGUUCCAGAGAUCCAAGUAUGACGGAGAGAUGAAGAUGUGGCUGAAGUGCAUUGAAGACGUUUUUGCAUAGCUUGAAAAUCAAAUAACAUCUUCAUUAGGUUUUAAAUCCACAGAGCUAUGUAGGUUUAUAGGGUUGUAAGUGGUUCUCCAUUAUCGUCAUAAUAAUCAUACUGAUAAUAAUCAGAACAUAGUCCCAGCUAUUUGGGGUUGGCUUUCUUGGAUUGCUCGAUGACAGUUUGACGACCACUCUUUCCACCUGACAUCAGCCCUCAUCCUUUACCCAUACUUGAGACUAGCGGUCCAUUGCUCAUUAUCCUCACCCUGUCUCACCUAUUUGACUUGGCUUUACGAAUCCUUUUUUUACCAACCAAUUCUGUCAAUGGCCCUAUCUUUAGCAUGUGAACAAACCUUUAUCCCUUUUCAUCACCUCAAUACAAGUACUUCAAUGACUUCCUCUCAUUCUUUUCAGGCCUCUCAAUCCUAAUCAAUGUUCCCUUACAGGAGUUGUCUCCAAUCGUUGUAGUACAUGACUGCAGGUGGUGCAUGGCUACCAGGUGAAAUUUGAAGCGAGCAUCUCGACAAUUCUUCAGUGUCAUUUAUUGUUCUACACUAACAAUUCAAAUUGAGCCCUCAAUAGUGGGAUAUAGAUACAGAUGUGUAGUACGGAAAGGAUUGAGUAUGGAGAUCCUGCAAAUUUCGGAUUCUUAGGAUACAGGAUCUGUAAGGAUCUGAUCCAUGGUGUUUAAUAUGAGUUAAAAGGAUAAUACAUAGAGGGUCUAAUAUAGGCAAAAUUAUAUUACAUUAAUAAUAGGUUAAAAGAGUUGUAAAGUU